rnacentral:rRNA from 1 species
CCUACGGGAGGCAGCAGUGAGGAAUAUUGGUCAAUGGGCGCAAGCCUGAACCAGCCAUCCCGCGUGCAGGAUGACGGCCCUACGGGUUGUAAACUGCUUUUAUACAGGAAGAAAAAUCCCGAUGUAUCGGGACUUACCGGUACUGUAUGAAUAAGCAUCGGCUAACUCCGUGCCAGCAGCCGCGCUAAUACGGAGGAUGCAAGCGUUAUCCGGAUUCAUUGGGUUUAAAGGGUGCGUAGGCGGCUUUUUAAGUCAGUGGUGAAAUCCUGCCGCUUAACGGUAGAAUUGCCAUUGAUACUGAGGAGCUUGAGUUCAGUUGAGGUAAGCGGAAUGUGUAGUGUAGCGGUGAAAUGCUUAGAUAUUACACAGAACACCGAUUGCGAAGGCAGCUUACUAAACUGACACUGACGCUGAUGCACGAAAGCGUGGGGAUCGAACAGGAUUAGAUACCCUGGUAGUCCACGCCGUAAACGAUGAUCACUCGCUGUAUGCGAUAUACCGUAUGCGGCCAAGCGAAAGCAUUAAGUGAUCCACCUGGGGAGUACGAUCGCAAGGUUGAAACUCAAAGGAAUUGACAA